AUUGAACGCUGGCGGCAGGCCUAACACAUGCAAGUCGAACGAGUGGCGGACGGGUGAGUAAUGUAUGGGAAACUGCCUGAUGGAGGGGGAUAACUACUGGAAACGGUAGCUAAUACCGCAUACCAUAAGAUGUGCCCAUAUGGGAUUAGCUUGUUUGUGGGGUAACGGCUCACCAAGGCGACGAUCCGUAGCUGGUCUGAGAGGAUGACCAGACCCUGUGGAAGUGGUACAAGGUCCUGACAUCUACGGGAGGCAGCCGUGGGAAAUAUUGCACAAUGGGCGAAAGCCUGAUGCAGCCAUGCCGCGUGUAGGAUGUAGGCCUUGGGGGUUUAAAGUACUUUCAGAGGGGAGGCGUUACCCGCAGAAGAAGCACCGGCUAACUCCGUGCCAGCAGCCGCGGUAAUAC
rnacentral:rRNA from 1 species